ACCAGUGCAGGUGCUCCUUUAAAACCAUGGGUGCAGCAUAUUUGCAACCAUCUCUACUGGUGCAAUUCCACAGCUGAGGGGAAUUCAGAACUGCUACUGAGCAUGUGGAAAAGCAUGACACGCCACAUUACAAAUGUCCAUACCGGUCACGAAGGUCCAUACCAUCGCUGCUUACAUGACACAGUUGGAGAAAGGCCGUGGCUGCAGCCUGGUACCGUAGCUUAUGCAAGACUUCUGAAGAUUGUACUGAACCCAAGGCUACUGAAGGAUGUUCAACAACUAUCAAGAGUGGGUCAGACAUCAGGGCUCGAGUCAUACCACUCCGUCAUACUGAAGUUCGCUCCUAAGUCCACAGCAUACACACCGAAAGUUAUGCGUGCUAGGACACAAAUAGCUGCCCUGCACUUCAAUGAAAAUGCUGACCGGGAGUAUGCUUAUGGAAAGGAUGGACAACAGAUGUUCAGGAGGAAGCUCCUAAAAACAAAGAAAGGGGCAGAAGUAGUUUCUAGAGUGAAGACA